UGCCAGCCGCCGCGGUAAUACGGAGGGAUCGAACGUUAAUCGGAAUUACUGGGCGUAAAGCGCGCGUAGGCGGUUCAUUAAGUGGGAUGUGAAAGCCCCGGGCUCAACCUGGGAGGGUCAUUCCAAACUGGUGAACUGGAAUCUGGUAGAGGGAGGUGGAAUUUCUAGUGUAGCGGUGAAAUGCGUAGAUAUUAGAAAGAACACCAGUGGCGAAGGCGACCUCCUGGACCAAGAUUGACGCUGAGGUGCGAAAGCGUGGGGAGCAAACAGGAUUAGAUA
rnacentral:rRNA from 1 species